GCAGACACAUUCCAGCCAAUCGGCAGCAGACCCUCCCUCCAGACCCUUCCACCUCCUGGACAGCAUCCAUUUUGAAGCUGCAUUCUUAGUGAGCUGUCCAGGAGGUGGGAGGGUCUGGGAGGGAGGGUCUGCUGCUGAUUGGCUGGAAUGUGUCUG